rnacentral:siRNA from 1 species
UUGACUCCGAUAAAAUCUAUC